rnacentral:rRNA from 1 species
UACGUAGGUGACGAGCGUUGUCCGGAUUUACUGGGCGUAAAGAGCGCGCAGGCGGUCGUUCAAGUCGAGUGUGAAAGCCCCCGGCUCAACUGGGGAGGGUCAUUCGAUACUGAUCGACUCGAAGGCAGGAGAGGGAAGUGGAAUUCCCGGUGUAGUGGUGAAAUGCGUAGAUAUCGGGAGGAACACCAGUGGCGAAGGCGACUUCCUGGCCUGUUCUUGACGCUGAGGCGCGAAAGCUAGGGGAGCAAACGGG